GUAGCUUGCUACUUAACCUACCCGGCGGACGGGUGAGUAAUGCUUAGGAAUCUGCCUAUUAGUGGGGGACAACAUCUCGAAAGGGAUGCUAAUACCGCAUACGUCCUACGGGAGAAAGCAGGGGACCUUCGGGCCUUGCGCUAAUAGAUGAGCCUAAGUCGGAUUAGCUAGUUGGUGGGGUAAAGGCCUACCAAGGCGACGAUCUGUAGCGGGUCUGAGAGGAUGAUCCGCCACACUGGGACUGAGACACGGCCCAGACUCCUACGGGAGGCAGCAGUGGGGAAUAUUGGACAAUGGGGGGAACCCUGAUCCAGCCAUGCCGCGUGUGUGAAGAAGGCCUUUUGGUUGUAAAGCACUUUAAGCGAGGAGGAGGCUACCGAGAUUAAUACUCUUGGAUAGUGGACGUUACUCGCAGAAUAAGCACCCGGCUAACUCUGUGCCAGCAGCCGCGGUAAUACAGAGGGUGCAAGCGUUAAUCGGAUUUACUGGGGCGAAAGCGCGCGUAGGUGGCCAUUAAGUCAAUGUGAAUCCCCGAGCUUAACUUGGGAUUGCAUUCGAUACUGGUUGGCUAGAGUAUGGGAGAGGAUGGUAGAAUUCCAGGUGUAGCGGUGAAAUGCGUAGAGAUCUGGAGGAAUACCGAUGGCGAAGGCAGCCAUCUGGCCUAAUACUGACACUGAGGUGCGAAAGCAUGGGGAGCAAACAGGAUUAGAUACCCUGGUAGUCCAUGCCGUAAACGAUGUCUACUAGCCGUUGGGGCCUUUGAGGCUUUAGUGGCGCAGCUAACACGAUAAGUAGACCGCCUGGGGAGUACGGUCGCAUGACUAUCACUCAAAUGAAUUGACGGC
rnacentral:rRNA from 1 species